rnacentral:rRNA from 1 species
CCUACGGGAGGCAGCAGUGGGGAAUAUUGGGCAAUGGGCGCAAGCCUGACCCAGCAACGCCGCGUGAAGGAAGAAGGCCUUCGGGUUGUAAACUUCUUUUAAGGGGGAAGAGCAGAAGACGGUACCCCUUGAAUAAGCCACGGCUAACUACGUGCCAGCAGCCGCGGUAAUACGUAGGUUGCAAGCGUUGUCCGGAUUUAGUGGGUGUAAAGGGCGUGCAGCCGGAGAGUCAAGUCAGAUGUGAAAUCCACGGGCUCAACCCGUGAACUGCAUUUGAAACUGUUUCCCUUGAGUUUAGGAGAGGUAAGCGGAAUUCCUUGUGUAGCGGUGAAAUGCGUAGAUAUAAGGAAGAACAACAGUGGCGAAGGCGGAUUACUGGACGGUAACUGACGGUGAGGCGCGAAAGCGUGGGGAGCAAACAGGAUUAGAUACCCUAGUAGUC